AUUGAACGCUGGCGGCAUGCCUUACACAUGCAAGUCGAACGGUAACAGGGACUUCGGUCCGCUGACGAGUGGCGAACGGGUGAGUAAUAUGUAGGAAUAUACCUAUAGGUGGGGGAUAACUACUCGAAAGAGUAGCGAAUACCGCAUAAUAUCUACGGAUUAAAGCAGGGGAUCGCAAGACCUUGUGCCAAUAGAAUAGCCUACAUCCGAUUAGCUAGUUGGUAGAGUAAAAGCCUACCAAGGCAACGAUCGGUAACUGGUCUGAGAGGAUGAUCAGUCACACUGGAACUGAGACACGGUCCAGACUCCUACGGGAGGCAGCAGUGGGGAAUUUUGGACAAUGGGGGCAACCCUGAUCCAGCAAUGCCGCGUGUGUGAAGAAGGCCUUCGGGUUGUAAAGCACUUUUGUUCGGAAAGAAAUCGUCCUGGCUAAUAUCUGGGAUGGAUGACGGUACCGGAAGAAUAAGCACCGGCUAACUACGUGCCAGCCGCCGCGGUAAAAC
rnacentral:rRNA from 1 species